AACGCGAAGAACCUUACCUACUCUUGACAUCCAGAGAACUUAGCAGAGAUGCUUUGGUGCCUUCGGGAACUCUGAGACAGGUGCUGCAUGGCUGUCGUCAGCUCGUGUUGUGAAAUGUUGGGUUAAGUCCCGCAACGAGCGCAACCCUUAUCCUUUGUUGCCAGCGGUCCGGCCGGGAACUCAAAGGAGACUGCCAGUGAUAAACUGGAGGAAGGUGGGGAUGACGUCAAGUCAUCAUGGCCCUUACGAGUAGGGCUACACACGUGCUACAAUGGCAUAUACAAAGAGAAGCGACCUCGCGAGAGCAAGCGGACCUCAUAAAGUAUGUCGUAGUCCGGAUUGGAGUCUGCAACUCGACUCCAUGAAGUCGGAAUCGCUAGUAAUCGUGGAUCAGAAUGCCACGGUGAAUACGUUCCCGGGUCUUGUACACAC
rnacentral:rRNA from 1 species